UUUCCGUAGGUGAACCUGCGGAAGGAUCAUUACAGUAGUCACCCAGGUUGCCGCAAGGCCUCCUGGGUAACCUACCACCCUUUGUUUAUUACACUUUGUUGCUUUGGCAAGCCUGCCCUCGGGCUGCUGGCUCCGGCCGGCGAGCGCUUGCCAGAGGACCUAAACUCUGUUUGUCUAUACUGUCUGAGUACUAUAUAAUAGUUAAAACUUUCGACAACGGAUCUCUUGGUACUGGCAUCGAUGAAGACGCAGC
rnacentral:misc_RNA from 1 species